AUGAAGAAAGAAUUAUUUAUUGGACUAAGUAUUAGCAGUGUGAGGACAGAUAAGCUUACAUUUGGAAGUGGGACCACUCUUACAGUUGAACCAAACAAUCAAAACACUUCUGUCCCAGAAGUCAUUGUGAUGAAAUCAAAGAAACUGGAAGAAGAUGGCAACAUUGGGAAAGCAGCUUGUUUGGCAAGAAAUUCCUAUACAAAGAAAAUCAGCUUGCAGAUGUCCUCUGAUGACGUUGUAUAUGAUCAGAGUACACCCGUUUUGACAUCAGAGGGGUUGUACGAUACUAUUAAGGUGGUGAAUGUGACAAAAGGCACAGAGGUGACCUGCACGGUCACAUUCGAUGGCAAAACUAUUACAGCCAACACAACAUUGCCAGAAAAGGAGGCUGAAGAACCACCCAAACCAGGGAAGGUUUGCAACACCACAGACACCUCUGCGCAAGAUACCAAAGUGGAAAAAGCGAACAUGCUGUCUAUGGCUGUGUUGGGUUUGAGAGUCCUGCUGGCAAAAAGUAUCGCCUUCAAUACACUCAUGAGUAUCAAGUUGUUUCUUUUUUGA